rnacentral:rRNA from 1 species
AAAUUGAAGAGUUUGAUCAUGGCUCAGAUUGAACGCUGGCGGCAGGCCUAACACAUGCAAGUCGAACGGUAACAGAAAGCAGCUUGCUGCUUUGCUGACGAGUGGCGGACGGGUGAGUAAUGUCUGGGAAACUGCCUGAUGGAGGGGGAUAACUACUGGAAACGGUAGCUAAUACCGCAUAACGUCGCAAGACCAAAGAGGGGGACCUUCGGGCCUCUUGCCAUCGGAUGUGCCCAGAUGGGAUUAGCUUGUUGGUGGGGUAACGGCUCACCAAGGCGACGAUCCCUAGCUGGUCUGAGAGGAUGACCAGCCACACUGGAACUGAGACACGGUCCAGACUCCUACGGGAGGCAGCAGUGGGGAAUAUUGCACAAUGGGCGCAAGCCUGAUGCAGCCAUGCCGCGUGUAUGAAGAAGGCCUUCGGGUUGUAAAGUACUUUCAGCGGGGAGGAAGGGAGUAAAGUUAAUACCUUUGCUCAUUGACGUUACCCGCAGAAGAAGCACCGGCUAACUCCGUGCCAGCAGCCGCGGUAAUACGGAGGGUGCAAGCGUUAAUCGGAAUUACUGGGCGUAAAGCGCACGCAGGCGGUUUGUUAAGUCAGAUGUGAAAUCCCCGGGCUCAACCUGGGAACUGCAUCUGAUACUGGCAAGCUUGAGUCUCGUAGAGGGGGGUAGAAUUCCAGGUGUAGCGGUGAAAUGCGUAGAGAUCUGGAGGAAUACCGGUGGCGAAGGCGGCCCCCUGGACGAAGACUGACGCUCAGGUGCGAAAGCGUGGGGAGCAAACAGGAUUAGAUACCCUGGUAGUCCACGCCGUAAACGAUGUCGACUUGGAGGUUGUGCCCUUGAGGCGUGGCUUCCGGAGCUAACGCGUUAAGUCGACCGCCUGGGGAGUACGGCCGCAAGGUUAAAACUCAAAUGAAUUGACGGGGGCCCGCACAAGCGGUGGAGCAUGUGGUUUAAUUCGAUGCAACGCGAAGAACCUUACCUGGUCUUGACAUCCACAGAACCUUGUAGAGAUACGAGGGUGCCUUCGGGAACUGUAAGACAGGUGCUGCAUGGCUGUCGUCAGCUCGUGUUGUGAAAUGUUGGGUUAAGUCCCGCAACGAGCGCAACCCUUAUCCUUUGUUGCCAGCGGUCCGGCCGGGAACUCAAAGGAGACUGCCAGUGAUAAACUGGAGGAAGGUGGGGAUGACGUCAAGUCAUCAUGGCCCUUACGACCAGGGCUACACACGUGCUACAAUGGCGCAUACAAAGAGAAGCGACCUCGCGAGAGCAAGCGGACCUCAUAAAGUGCGUCGUAGUCCGGAUUGGAGUCUGCAACUCGACUCCAUGAAGUCGGAAUCGCUAGUAAUCGUGGAUCAGAAUGCCACGGUGAAUACGUUCCCGGGCCUUGUACACACCGCCCGUCACACCAUGGGAGUGGGUUGCAAAAGAAGUAGGUAGCUUAACCUUCGGGAGGGCGCUUACCACUUUGUGAUUCAUGACUGGGGUGAAGUCGUAACAAGGUAACCGUAGGGGAACCUGCGGUUGGAUCACCUCCUUA